rnacentral:tmRNA from 2 species
GGCCUUUAUUUUUCCCUCGUCGCUCCCUAUAUUCGUUUCGUCGGCUUGACCGACUAUGGCGAUAAACAGGCGAUGAAAUAAGCCGUUCGGACCCGGGGGCGGUACCCGGCGCCUCCACCAAAAACCGCUCUGGCCGACAGAGCGGCUUUUGCUGGGGGCGAAAUAGGAUCGACGAAGGUGUAAAGAUCGUACUUUUGCCCGGCAUUGUACCACCGUUAUCGGGCUAAACUUAUAGUUGCCAACGACAACUAUGCGGAAGCUCGUCUCGCUGCUUAAUGCGGCGCGAACGCUUCAAAUCAAGUCCUAGCGGUUCGCACUUCUAGGCGGGGUUCGGAGGUACCUGGCAACAGAAACCUCCACC